GGAGAAAGUCACAUUUGUUUAAUUGAAAUAAUUCCUCUUUCCUUGCCUAACACAGGUGAAUACUUAGCUAAUGCAUUCCACCUGCCAGAGUCACCAGGGGAACUCCAGAGACAAGCUUCAAGCUGCUCCCACAGGCUUCUAGUAACACAUGCAUUGAAUUGAUAAACAGCAAAGGACUCCACUCCAUGGGUUUCAAAUCACUACCUGGGGAACUGCUGGGGUUGGAGCUGCAAUAGGCUGAUGGAUAAAUCUUCCAACCCAUCCUCUUUGCUUAAUCUGGGGUUCUGAAAUAUGUUCAUGCUUCAGAAAAGGUAAGUGUAAAGCUUUUUUGUGCUUUUAUCCCUCAGCUUGGUUGUG
rnacentral:lncRNA from 12 species